CAAGAAAAGGGAUCCGUCUGAACUCUACGGAAAAGCGCGUCUUUGUACUCCAAGUGAAGACGACGAUGUAGAAGCCAGUGUGAGGCGUUACCACUCAAAGCUUGGUGAUACUGGUGUAAUAAUCAAGUUUUAAUGAGAAAGGGGCGAUUCGUUUUUCAUACGUCUUGUUGUCAACACUUGUGAAACUACAAAAACCCACUUGGACUAUGCAAAUGCGCCGUACGCACGCACGGAGCGCACGGACCUCAUCAGCUUGGAUAGUGCAGCUUCCCUCUUGACCGGGAUGUAGCCACGUGAGCUGGGCUGACUUUAUCGCGGAUUUGGAUGAGGUGUUUUCAGCCCGUUAAUGGACAGCCGUGUGAACUAUACGUGGUGGCUUUACGCUGCGCUCUGGUGUGUUUUUCUCCUCUCUCCACCGCUCCGCCUCCCCCCUUCGCAACAUUGACGCAACCAAAAAAAAAAAAAAAAAAAAAAAAAAAAAAAAACACUGGAACAAAAGAAACAACUUCCUUGAAGCUUUGCUGAAACUGCACUUACUCGGAAGAGAAUGGAUGGAAGCUUGUUGUCAACUUGCCCUGGAUGGAAUUUGUCGAAGAGGUGAGGUUGUCACCAACGGACCGGCUACUCCUAGCGACACAUCCAUACACAGCGAAAGAUGCACUGGAAAACACUAGUCUAUGGAGAACCUGUAUGAGGGAAGAUGGAGGUCGUCCGGGGCACACAUCUGAUCAGAGUCUACACCAUUGUGUCCUGUGAUGCUGUAGCAGCACGGAAUGGUUUGUGGGAUACACUGAGAUGCAGGCCAUGCCAUGCUGCAGCAGCAGAGCAGGAGCUCCCCUCUUUGCACACGUCACAUGUCUAACACCUGUUUGUGCUGAAGAAGCUGGCGGCCUUACUGUAGCAGCACGUAAAUAUUGGAGUAACAUUGAGGUCAGCCUCCAGUAUUCCCCGUGCUGCUGGAGAACAGCUGACCCCUGCCCACUGUCCGGCCCAUCUACUGAAUGAGUCUGUUAAUGUCACAUUAAAUAAAAUGUUUUGAAUCUGGACUGAGUUGGAAAAUUAACUUUUGAUGUAUUCACCUAUGGAAUUAUUUGAAAAUAUUUUAAUCAUUGACAUGUUCAAGUACUAAUGUGCUUUCAAAAUUCUUGUCAUGUUUUAAUAAUAAAAACUACCAAAGUGA